UACGAAGGGGGCUAGCGUUGCUCGGAAUUACUGGGCGUAAAGGGCGCGUAGGCGGCGCAUUUAGUCAGGCGUGAAAUUCCUGGGCUCAACCUGGGGACUGCGCUUGAUACGGGUGUGCUAGAGGAUGGAAGAGGCUCGCGGAAUUCCCAGUGUAGAGGUGAAAUUCGUAGAUAUUGGGAAGAACACCGGUGGCGAAGGCGGCGAGCUGGUCCAUUACUGACGCUGAGGCGCGACAGCGUGGGGAGCAAACAGG
rnacentral:misc_RNA from 1 species